rnacentral:rRNA from 1 species
AACGCUAGCUACAGGCUUAACACAUGCAAGUCGAGGGGCAGCAUCAUCAAAGCUUGCUUUGAUGGAUGGCGACCGGCGCACGGGUGAGUAACACGUAUCCAACCUGCCGACAACACUGGGAUAGCCUUUCGAAAGAAAGAUUAAUACCGGAUGGCAUAGUUUUCCCGCAUGGGGUAAUUAUUAAAGAAUUUCGGUUGUCGAUGGGGAUGCGUUCCAUUAGGCAGUUGGCGGGGUAACGGCCCACCAAACCUACGAUGGAUAGGGGUUCUGAGAGGAAGGUCCCCCACAUUGGAACUGAGACACGGUCCAAACUCCUACGGGAGGCAGCAGUGAGGAAUAUUGGUCAAUGGACGAGAGUCUGAACCAGCCAAGUAGCGUGAAGGAUGACUGCCCUAUGGGUUGUAAACUUCUUUUAUACGGGAAUAAAGUGAGCCACGUGUGGCUUUUUGUAUGUACCGUAUGAAUAAGGAUCGGCUAACUCCGUGCCAGCAGCCGCGGUAAUACGGAGGAUCCGAGCGUUAUCCGGAUUUAUUGGGUUUAAAGAGAGCGUAGACGGGUUGUUAAGUCAGUUGUGAAAGUUUGCGGCUCAACCGUAAAAUUGCAGUUGAUACUGGCGACCUUGAGUGCAACAGAGGUAGGCGGAAUUCGUGGUGUAGCGGUGAAAUGCUUAGAUAUCACGAAGAACUCCGAUUG